AUUACGAUGUAUUGUCCUUUUUGCGGUUCGGGAAUAAACCCCGAAACGACAUUCUGUAGUUCGUGUGGAAAGAAUAUAACAUUCCUGCGUGAUGUCCAAAACCAAGCACAAGUCAGGGAGGCAUAAAAGAAGAGGGUGCACUGGAGUCAUUCCGGAAUUUCAGGAUAUUAAAAGGGAAGGAGAGGCAAUUAAGUUUCAAAAAGAAAAAAGAACCGCUGAAAGAAAACCUUGUGAAGAUUUCGGUAGGCCUUAUGCGACAGAAAGAUGGAGUCUUGAGUCCUAUGAGAGGAAUGACACUCCCCCUUUCACUCAAACCAAGCUCAGAUGCCAAAGAAUUGCACAAUGCGGCACUGCAAAAAUUGAAGGCCUUCAACAAAAACUUACCUCCUGGUCCCCACUUUCUGGUGUAUCCUGAUGGUACAAAGAUAGUAAAUAUACCAGGAACAAACACCCCAUUCUCUAUAAAAGACUACAAGGAGGCAGUGGGGAAAGCGUACCAACGCAUCACAGUGUACAUUUGUACAGUUGAAGAUUUCAUGACCUGUUCUCAGGAGGCCACCACAGAUUCCGAGGAGUCCGAUUCAGAGAUAUCGGAACCUGCCUUGAACAGUACAAGCGAUGAUCAACAAUCACACACUGAUUUAACAGCUCUGAACUUGCCUAAUGGACCAAGGAACAGCAGUGAAUGUGAUGGAAACUACAAGUUACAUAAAAUACACUGA
rnacentral:lncRNA from 1 species